AGUGGCAACACUCCUGCAAAGGCUAGUGGCGGCGGGUGAGUAACGCGUAGGUAAUCUACCUUGAAGAUUAGGAUAACCUUCUGAAAGGGAGGCUAAUACUAAAUAUUUUAUAUUUUUCGUAUGAUUAAUAUAACAAAGGUAGCCGCAAGGCCUCCGCUUUAAGAUGAACCUGCGUCCUAUUAGCUUGUUGGUAAGGUAAUGGCUUACCAAGGCUAUGAUGGGUAGCCGGCCUGAGAGGGUGAUCGGCCACACUGGGACUGAGAUACGGCCCAGACUCCUACGGGAGGCAGCAGUAGGGAAUAUUGCGCAAUGGGCGAAAGCCUGACGCAGCGACACCGUGUGAAGGAUGAAGGUCUUCGGAUCGUAAACUUCUGUCAAUCGGGGACGAAGGUAAUAAGGUUAAUAGCCUUUAUUAUUGACGGUACCCAAUAAGGAAGUCUCGGCUAACUCCGUGCCAGCAGCCGCGGUAAGACGGAGGAGGCAAGCGUUGUCCGGAAUCAUUGGGCGUAAAGAGCGCGUAGGCGGUUUUUCAAGUCGUAUGUGAAAACUUCAGGCUUAACCUGAUGAUUGCAUAUGAAACUGGAUAACUUGAGUACAGCAGAGGAAAGUGGAAUUCCUGGUGUAGCGGUGAAAUGUGCAGAUAUCAGGAAGAACACCGGUAGCGAAGGCGGCUUUCUGGGCUGUUACUGACGCUGAGGCGCGAAAGCUAGGGGAGCAAACAGGAGUUAGAUACCCUUAGUCCUGCCGUAAACGAUGGACACUAGGUGUGGGAAGGAUCGACGCUUUCUGUGCCGAAGCUAACGCAUUAUGUCCCGCCUGGGGAGUACGCCGCAAGGCUAAAACUCAAAUGAAUUGAGACG
rnacentral:rRNA from 1 species